UACGUUCUCACCUAUAUAUAAGUUAACAUCAUUUGGAAAAUCAUUUCACGGCCGUUCUUCCAUCAUCUCAGAUCUUACCGCUCCAAUUCAGUAUGCAGUUUUCUGACCUGAUCGGAGGUCCAAUAACUGACCAGAUCGAGUGUCCAUGUAUGGGAAUGGAUCAUAGCAUGUUGACAGUUCAUAGGAGCGCAUCUAUCUUUCUAUCAGUCAUGCUUUUUGGAUGAUGGUCGAGAUUGAAUACCAUAAAAGCCAGCUUUUUCGGCGGCCUUUAAGAUAGUUGGCGGAUUGUAAGGGAAAGAAUGAAUUAUUUAGGCAUGAUGUACCGGGGGCUUUCCCCGCCACCGGUUUUCAACUUGAUAGAGGGUGGUGGUUCAGUUUUCAAUUUGUUUUCCUAAUGGCAAAUACUGCUCAAUCUGGUAAAAGUAUUGCUAGAUCAUUAUUCACUGCACAGCUUGAGCCCAAGAAGAACAAUCAGACAAGCCAAACGAAGGAUCUAUGAAUGUAUAUAUUUCAUGAGCUUAUAGUCUUUGGUAAAAUGUGAUUUGAAUUUGGACGAAAAACACUCAGGCCCAAUUGAUAAAGCCCAAAUCACACUUGGUCUUUCGUGAGAUUGUAGAAGUGAGGUUUCACGAAGAAUCUUGUUUAGUUGGAAAAGAUGGGUUUUUUGUUGACUGGG